rnacentral:rRNA from 1 species
AUACGGAGGAUCCGAGCGUUAUCCGGAUUUAUUGGGUUUAAAGGGUGCGCAGGCGGCCAUUUAAGUCAGCGGUUAAAUCGUGGGGCUCAACCCCAUUCUGCCGUUGAUACUGGGUGGCUUGAUUGCGGUCGAGGUUGGCGGAAUUCGUUGUGUAGCGGUGAAAUGCAUAGAUAUGACGAAGAACACCGAUUGCGUAGGCAGCUGACCAGAUCGCAAAUGACGCUCAUGCACGAAAGUGCGGGGAUCGAACAGGAUUAGAUACCCUGGUAGUCCGCACAGUAAACGAUGAAUACUUGUUUUCGGCGAUAUAAUGUCGGAGGCAAAGCGAAAGCGAUAAGUAUUCCACCUGGGGAGUACGCCGGCAACGGUGAAACUCAAAUGAAUUGACGGG